rnacentral:rRNA from 1 species
CCUACGGGUGGCAGCAGUGAGGAAUAUUGGUCAAUGGACGAGAGUCUGAACCAGCCAAGUAGCGUGAAGGAUGACUGCCCUAUGGGUUGUAAACUUCUUUUAUAUGGGAAUAAAAUGUUCCACGUGUGGGAUUUUGUAUGUACCAUAUGAAUAAGGAUCGGCUAACUCCGUGCCAGCAGCCGCGGUAAUACGGAGGAUCCGAGCGUUAUCCGGAUUUAUUGGGUUUUAAGGGAGCGUAGGUGGAUUGUUAAGUCAGUUGUGAAAGUUUGCGGCUCAACCGUAAAAUUGCAGUUGAAACUGGCAGUCUUGAGUACAGUAGAGGUGGGCGGAAUUCGUGGUGUAGCGGUGAAAUGCUUAGAUAUCACGAAGAACUCCGAUUGCGAAGGCAGUUCACUGGACUGCAACUGACACUGAGGCUCGAAAGUGUGGGUAUCAAACAGGAUUAGAUACCCGAGUAGUC